rnacentral:lncRNA from 1 species
GCAGAGCCCUCUGCUUCCAGACAUGGUGCCUUGAGCUGGGUUGGGAUCUCACCACGAGUCAUUAUGAGCCUGAUGAGAGUGUGUGCUGAAGGGAAGACAGGCUUAUGAUAGGUUGUGUUGAGGACUGACCCAAAUUACGGAAGACAGUUGGAAAGAACUUAAACAGAACUUUGUUGCUGCAAGGAAUGGAUGCCAGAAACGGAAGGCAAUCAGAAUAGAUCUUUAUUUUCUGACAAUAGCUGGGUUUGAAUUAAAUAGUUUCAACUCAAACAGUGAAACUCAGUUAUGAAACCAUGUACAAGAAAUCUGAAAGGUAUUAAAUUUGCACAAAGAAGGAAAGUCUG